rnacentral:rRNA from 1 species
CGCGUAGGAAUCUACCCAGUAGUGGGGGACAACAGUCGGAAACGGCUGCUAAUACCGCAUACGCCCUAUGGGGGAAAGCGGGGGAUCUUCGGACCUCGCGCUAUUGGAUGAGCCUGCGUCGGAUUAGCUAGUUGGUGGGGUAAAAGCCUACCAAGGCGACGAUCCGUAGCUGGUCUGAGAGGAUGAUCAGCCACACUGGAACUGAGACACGGUCCAGACUCCUACGGGAGGCAGCAGUGGGGAAUAUUGCACAAUGGGGGAAACCCUGAUGCAGCCAUGCCGCGUGUGUGAAGAAGGCCU